UUUGGGAGGAAAAUAUUUUCCGAAAAAGCUUUUCAGCCUUUUCCAGCGUUUGUUUAGCUGAAAACAAUUUCCCAAGUAAAUGAAUUACAAAACAUGGGAAAACAAAGCCAUUACUUUAGAAAAAUGUCUUACCGUUUUUAUUUCGGUAAGACAUUUUUAGGAAAGAAGCAACACGAUCUUCCCUUCCCCUUCCCCUUACCCCAUCCUUUUUGGACAUUUGGAACAAUACAUGGUAUCCCAAAGCUAAAUAUCACAAAAAUACAGAAAAAAAACAUGGUAUAUUGUUGAUGCUACGGAUAAAGUUCUGGGAAGACUGGCAUCAACAAUUGCUGUGCAUAUUCGUGGAAAGAAUUUGGCCACUUAUACUCCUAGUGUGGAUUUGGGAGCCUUUGUGAUAGUGGUAAAUGCUGAAAAAAGUUGUUGCAUCUGGAAAGAAAAGGACACAAAAAGCUCUACAGGAGGCAUUCAGGAAGACUAGGUGGCAUGAAAGUGAAACAUUCAACCAACUGCAGUGGAUAAUUCCUGAAAGAAUUAUUAAGCACGCUGUUCAUGGUAUGCUUCCUAAAGGAAGGCUUGGUAGAGCAUUGUUUAACCACCUAAAGGUUUUCAAGGGUCCAGACCAUCCACAUGAUGCUCAGAAGCCUAUUGAGCUGCCAAUACGAGACAAGAGGGUUCAGAAGCAGAGAUAAUCAAAAUAUAAAGCAGGGUCUGGCUUGAGAGUGAGCAGGCAAUGCUUCACAUCCUGCUUGCCAUUUACUCAUGUUUCUGAAAAUAAAUCAUGUGACUGGUUAAAAAUUAAUACUAGCUAUUAAAUGGUAUAUAUAAUUAUAAUAUACUUUUAUUUAUGUAAUUGAUGAAAAAUAAUUUCAUUUCUAAAUUUUUGACAUUUACUAUCCCUAAUUUGAAUAUAUUUUACUGAAAUUUGAUAAUAGGUUCAAUGGAAAUCAAAUUGUAUAUGAAAGCUUUUUCUAUGCAAUGAUGUUGUGCUUGGAUUGGAUUGGAGAUAAAGUAGAUAUAAUGUGUAGACAUGCAGUUGUACCCUUCAAAUUCUGUAAUGAUGUAUGAUUGUUCGUUAUUGAGUGGGAUGCAUUUGAGCAGGUUUGUUGAAAUUACAGAAUGGUCCGAUCAACCAUCAGUGAAGGUGGCGGUCACAGUUGAUGCACCUGCUGUUCUCAAAUUGGUUAAGGAGAGGUUGAUGGAAUGAUGAUAAGGAUGGUUGUAUUGUGUAAUCAGUGUAAAUUUUUAAGAUUGUAUAAGCUUUGUCAGUGGACUAAUUUGUUCUGUUACGGUAGCUGUUAUUGUUUCAAUAAAAGGCAAUAAUUUUAUGCUA